rnacentral:rRNA from 1 species
CCUACGGGAGGCAGCAGUGGGGAAUAUUGGACAAUGGGCGAAAGCCUGAUCCAGCAAUGCCGCGUGAGUGAUGAAGGCCCUAGGGUUGUAAAGCUCUUUUACCCGGGAUGAUAAUGACAGUACCGGGAGAAUAAGCCCCGGCAAACUUCGUGCCAGCAGCCGCGGUAAU